rnacentral:rRNA from 1 species
CAGGUCAGGACACGGUAAGGAUUGACGGACUGAAGGCUCUUUCUCGAUUCCGUGGAAAGUGGUGCAUGGCCGUUUUGGUUGGUGGAUCGAUCCGUCUGGUUAAUUCCGUUAACGAACGAGACCUCGGCACUCCGAAUAGCGCGGCGGACGUCGCGGCCUCCGGGCCGUCUUCCGCACGAGCUUCUUAGAGGGACCGUCCCCCGCCGGGGAAGGAGGUGCGAGGCAACGACAGGUCUGUGAUGCCCUUAGAUGUUCUGGGCCGCACGCGCAUUACACUGACGCGUCCAACGGGUGACUCCCGACCCGAAGGGGCCGGGGAAUCCGCAAGGCGCGUCGUGAUGGGGAUUGAACGUUGCAAUUGUUGUUCACGAACGAGGAAUUCCUAGUAGGCGCGGGUCAUCAACCCGCGCCGAUUACGUCCCUGCCCUUUGUACACACC